AUGAGCAACUCUCCAGAUUUGCCCCUGCAGUCCCCCAGAGGGUGCCCCUGGCCACCUUCUGGCCUUUCCCUGCACCAACCCCUGGAUAAAACAGGAGCCCCCAGGUCUGCACUUGGCUUGACUCGAUGGGCAUCCACCUCCCCGUGCACAGACCCCCCGGCCAGCGCCCACCAGCCCUUCCACGCGGUCCGCCUAGCAGUGUGCUCCAGAAGGCAGGCCCCACCCUCAGCAGCAAGGCCACGUGUGUGUGCUCUUUACGCUCCAGCCACUUACGAUUUCGAGCUGGAGGGGGGCUGGGGUCCCACGUCCGAGGUCCAUUCCCACGUAGGAAUCCAGGUGAUGGCUUCGGCUGUAAGGAGAAGAGGGGGCAGGGGACCACCAGGAAGAAGACUUGGGUCCAGGGUGGUGGGCCCCAUCGGGGCCUCUUCCGCGGCUUCCAUCAGCAGUUCUUCAGCUGACCCAGCCAGGCCACGGCCCACGUGCCUUGGGGAAGGGUAGACAGUUAGAAUCACAGCAAGGCAAGCAUCCCGGAAAAGCCAAACACGCCCAAGAAAGACACGGGGCUUGGCCUCACCUGCAGUUUUUUGCUUUUCAGUGGAGUGGGGUGACUAGUGGGGGAUGCCCAAUGAUAGGAAAAGGUGCAAAGAAGCAACGGGCUGGGUUAGAGGCAGCCCCAAACCCAGAACCAAGUGGGGAACAAGGGACCAGGCAGGGCAAAGCCCAGGACUCUCAGGGCCAUGACGAAGACAAGGGCAGGCAGGGGCAACACCCACCAGGGAACGAUCACGAGGGGUCUCUGGGAAGGGAGAGGCGUCUGUCCAUAGCCCUGAGGCCAGGCCCACAGGAGGAGGCAUUGGAGGAUGCUUGGCAGGAGAUGGAGACACCAGCAGGGGCUUGUCGGGGGCACUGGGAACCUGCUGGAAACAGGCAGCUGGAGUGGGAGUGGCUCCUGGGUCAGGGCAGUGAUACUCAGACCUCAGGACGGCCAGGUGACCACAGGUAUGGGGUUGGCAGGGAGAACCAGACUGCUAAGCAGAGGGCUGUGGAGCUGAGCCCCGGAGCCCAGGGAUUGAGGCAGAGAAGGGGAGAUGGGUCAGGCCCACCUCAGGAGACAGAGCAAGCGGAGCGCCGGAUGGGUGAGGAACCUGGCCGUUGGAGAGCUACCAGGGAGAGCCAAGUCAGCAGCUGGGCAGAGGCAGAGCCUGCAGAUGCUCCCUGGAGGUUUCCCCUACUGGUCCUCUGCAUGGGACACGGGCCCCAGCAGCUGCUAGAGGGUUAAGGAGCUGGACCAAGCCCCGGGGGAGGAAGGCAUCAUGGCAAGGGAAGGGUCGCAGUCACAACCACACCUCGAGAGGGAGACCUGUGGCCAAAGCCCGGGGGCACACACUACAGCUGUUCCCAUGCCCACUUUGGUCCUGAGAGACUCAGGGCCGGGGUCCAGAACAGCUCAGCAUCAGGGAUGGGGCAGGGAAGGCAGAGAGGGAGAAGGUGCUGGCUCCGACCAGAGCAGAGCCCUGGGGAUAGCUUGAAUCUGCCCUCACACCCUCCAGCCUGACCUCUAUGGAGCCGGAGUCCACUGCUCCAGCCCCUGGGGCAACCCCCCGGCCCGCCCUCCUGGGGACACAGAGGCCAUCAAGGGAUGGGCUACGGUGGCAGGUGCCCAGGCCAAAGCCAGGGCUGUGGAUGUGCUCAGUUAGGAUCAACUGUUGGAUGAUGGAUGGCCGCGCAGGUGAAUGCAAGGACGCAACCAGUAAGGCCCCUGUUCAAGGGGGGCCAGGGUCGGAAGCUGCUCACACCCUUCUCAAAAAUGAAUUCCACCCUCCAGCCUUUGCACCUAGAACUCUUCGCGUGGCCCACCUGGUGGCUCAGCUGUGGUGGUCGAGUCCUUCCAUCCACUCACCUGGCAAAACCCUACAUCCCACAUACUCUAACAGAGCCCCACUCUGUGCCAGGCUGGUGCUGGGACACCCUGAGGAAGCACGGGGCUGGCCAAGGGCACCACAGGAGGACCAGGUCAGGAAUUGGGGGAGGGACAAAGAGAGAGAGACAUUGAGAGAGAGGACAGGCGAGGAAGAAGGCAACAGAAGCAGAAAAAGCAGUGACUCAAGGAGCCAGGUUAAAGGGGCUGCCCCUACACUCAAGGAAGCAAUGAGAUCCCUCUGCCAGCGCCUCAGAAAAGUCCAGAAACCCAAGCAGGAUGGGGACGUGGGGAGUUAACUUUUAAAAGUUUGUUAAGGCUACAGCAAAACCCCAGAGAACCUGCCCGGGGCUAACUGAUUUCUUCCAUGCCCGCUCCAGGCUUUUGACUGUCCACAGGAGCUACUGUAGUACUAACAGUGGCUUUGGGGCCUGUGUGUUAAUGAUUGCCAUGUAUCUGAGGGUGAGGAGGGUGCCAUCGAUUCUUCGUUACUAUUGAAGAAAGUCUUCUCAUUCAGAAUCAGGCGUGCUCUAUUUUUCUACUCACCAACAGCUACAUGGCAGGGAGGCCAGGUUUUCGUGUGAUCUCAGCUUCAGAGGUCUAUACCCCAGUCCACCCGUAGUCUCAACACUCCCCUAGACAGAGUGGCCAACUACAUCACUGGGAAAAGUCUCACCUUGGCAAAAGGGGAUGAAAGAUUGCCUCAGGCUUUUGCCCCAACCUGCCAAUGGAAGAUCCUUCCACGUUCUUUCUCAUGGGGCACUGGGGUAGAGUUGGUUUUGCUAACUUGGAAACAGUAUCCAAUUCUAAUUCACGAUGUCAGAGAACCGUUAGCCAACAGACUCAUCAAGGAAGGAAGGCCCCAUAAGGUUUCAACUAAUAACAUUUUCUUGCUCCAACUACCCACCUUAUCCCCUAGUUUUUUUCCCAUUUGGCUAAAGGUCCAACUGGAGCCUAAGGUUAAUUGGAGUGAUCUAAUCAUGAUUGAUCUGCCUUGGGGUGAGAAAUGUCCAGAGCUUGGGACAAAUAAGGGCAUGUUUCAGACUCAGGACAUACCUGCUCUAAAGAAUUAUGGGCUCUAGGGAGCUCAAAGAUCAGAAAAGAGGAUGAGGGCUCAGUUAGGGUAUAGGACAUGUGGGUGAGGAUAUUAAGGGGCAAAAGAACUACUACAGGCUGGGCGCGGUGGUUCACACCUGUAAUCCCAGCACUUUGGGAGGCCGAGGCGGGUGGAUCACGAGGUCAGGAGUUCGAGACCAGCCUGACCAACAUGGUGAAGCCCCGUCUCUACUAAAAAUACAAACAGUAGCCAGCUGUGGUGUUGGGUGCCUGUAAUCCCAGCUACUCAGGAGGCUGAGGUGGGAGAAUUGCUUGAACCUGGGAGGCAGAGGUUGCAGUGAGCUGAGAUCAUGCCACUGCACUCCAGCCUGGGCGACAGAGACUCUGUUUCAAAAAAAAAAAAAAGAACUACAAGUUCUGAUGCUACAUUCCCAGAUGUGAGUUUUAAUCUCCUCUCCACUGACUGAUCCUGACUAAUCAAUAGCCACUGUGCCCCAGUUUCAACAGUCUGCUGGAGUCAAAUCUGAACCCCAACUAUGCCCUCUUAUGGGGGGCCCUCUGGGAUGCCAACAUACAUUCACUUCUUCACCUGGCUAGGCAUUCCAUGGGUACUCACUUUGCAGUCACUCCCCUAGGGCCACGCCUAGGAGUUACUACUUCCCUACCACUUGUUAAUCUUGAGUGAGUUUUGGAUGUCCUCAGUGGGUCCUGAGACAAGUCAGAGGAGAGCUAGAGUAGGGAACUGAUCACCAGUGGUCCCCCUGGUCCUCAGCUCUUGGAGAGGGAAUGAAUGCUCUGGCCAGUUCCAUCUGUGCAAAGGAUCGAACAAAGCCAUUUUCUACAAUGCAACCCUGUCCAAAGCCCCCUUCUCAAAGCUGCCUGCAACUUUCAACCCCACUGAAUGGACUUCGUGCUGGGACAGAGGCAAAGACUUAAAUGAGGAGCAAAAGAAACGUCGACUCCAUCACCAAAAUUAGAAGUGUGGCUUAAGAAGCCACAUCGCCCCGGCCCGGCAGUGGCCAGUUCACCUCAUUAUGAUAAUCAGUGUGUUUUUCCUUCGCAGACAAAGAAGGCUCCUUAUGCGACGAAUAUUGGAAUCCAGCAGCUAACCUCAUUAACGUCUGCAGCCUCUUCCUUCGACAAGGCCCAAGAUUAGCCCUGUGUUCAUUAAGGGAAAAGGACGGAAAGUGGAAUAAAACUGAAAAACACCGCUGGGGUAAGGGGGAGGGGAGGCCCUCUUCUGUUAGCCAUUCAUUCACUGAAAUACUUCGUGUACCUUCAGGAUUUAAUCACCAGCGAAGGGGGCGGUGGGGAGGGGGCAGGUUUUACCAGGAUGUGGGAGGUAAAGAGGUUAAACUCAAUGGAAGGAGUUAAAAACCCAAACUAGGGUGAUUUGAUGUGAAAGCUUCCUGGGAUUUGUCAUUGGGAUAAUCAAUUUAAAACCUUCUUCCCGUUUGCUUUCUUUUAGCCCAACCUAACGUAAGGGGAAACCGUCUUUGGAUGUGUUUUUGGCUUUUAAUAUUUUCCAAGUCUCCCUUUCCUACUUGUUUUUUUGUCUUUAAUGCCUUUGUUUAGUUAUUCUCUUCUCCUGUCUCUCCUCCACGCCCCUCCCUUUCCACUUCUUUCUUCUCUUUAGUCCUCCCCAUGGGAACCUAAUGUAUACGAAAAUCUAGUGGUGCCUCCAGUUGUAUUUUUCUCAUGAAUGCUUUAUUGACUUUGCUUCAAGCCCUUCAAAUAGCAUCUGGUGCUUACCUGUGAGACAUCCCACCUGACCUGCCAGAUAAAGAUGAUUAACCCUAUUUUGAAACUGAGAUAAACCUGGCUUGGAAAAGUUUACCUACCCCAAGGUCUCAGCACUAAGUAACUUAACUAGGACUCAAACCCAGGUCAGCGACUCCUGACUGCUUAAGACAGCAUGGUAAGAAGCAGGUCCAGAAGUCGAGGGACCUGGGUAUGCAAGUUCCUAGGAGACACUAAGAACGAGAGAAGGGGGAGCAGGUGUCUCUGUGAAGGGGAGUGUAAGGACACAGAAGUGAACCGGGGCCGCAGAGCCCUGUGAGAGAAGGCAUGAAAAUGUGUCGUCGUGUCCAUGAGCUGAAAACAUGACAAGGAUUAAGCUACAGAAAAAUCUUUACCUUUGUGAGAGCCCUUCCACGGAGUAGAGCGAGUCAGGAAGCAGUGGGCUGAAGAGGAAAUUGGAGGUGAGGAAGGAAGACAGCAAGUGUAGACAGGCCUUUCAAGAAGCUUGGCUGUGAAAGGAAAGACAGAGGCUGUAGUGGCUAGAAAAGAUGACAGCAGGGACCUGGGAGGCUCCAGGCUGCAGGCAGAGCAAAGUCAGAAAUGCAGAGGGAGGCCUUCUGAAGGAGGCCAGGACUGAGACAGGUACAAUUCUUCCUCUAGAACUCAGGAACAGGAGUUCAGUGAUCCAGUGGGGCCCAAACUACAGAGCCUCUUGACAGCCUCUGUUUCCCUGGGAGUGGCAGUGGCCGGCCCUGGCUCAGGACAGGGAGUUGUGAGGAUCAAAUGAAUGGACGGUUGCAAAAAGUGACAGAAACAUUCAUUACCACUAUUCACUGGGAGCAGGACUCCCGAUUUUACAGCCCACUCGAAUCUCACUGGGGCCCGGAUUUUCACUGACCAUAAAUUAUUCGUCCUGAACAUUAA